UACGUAGGGUGCAAGCGUUAAUCGGAAUUACUGGGCGUAAAGCGAGCGCAGGCGGCUAUAUAAGACAGAUGUGAAAUCCCCGGGCUUAACCUGGGAACUGCAUUUGUGACUGUAUGGCUAGAGUGUGUCAGAGGGGGGUAGAAUUCCGCGUGUAGCAGUGAAAUGCGUAGAUAUGCGGAGGAAUACCGAUGGCGAAGGCAGCCCCCUGGGAUAACACUGACGCUCAUGCUCGAAAGCGUGGGGAGCAAACAGG
rnacentral:rRNA from 1 species